rnacentral:rRNA from 1 species
UACAGAGGGUGCGAGCGUUGUCCGGAAUCACUGGGCGUAAAGGGCGCGUAGGCGGCCUGAUAAGUAGGGGGUGAAAUCCUGUAGCUUAACUGCAGGGCUGCCUCCUAAACUGUUGGGCUAGAGCACGGUAGAGGCAGAUGGAAUUCCCGGUGUAGCGGUGGAAUGCGUAGAGAUCGGGAAGAACAUCAGUGGCGAAGGCGGUCUGCUGGGCCGUAACUGACGCUGAGGAGCGAAAGCGUGGGGAGCGAACAGG